rnacentral:rRNA from 1 species
GACGAACGCUGGCGGCGUGCUUAACACAUGCAAGUCGAACGGAAAGGCCCUGCUUUUGUGGGGUACUCGAGUGGCGAACGGGUGAGUAACACGUGAGUAACCUGCCCUUGACUUUGGGAUAACUUCAGGAAACUGGGGCUAAUACCGGAUAGGAGCUCCUGCUGCAUGGUGGGGGUUGGAAAGUUUCGGCGGUUGGGGAUGGACUCGCGGCUUAUCAGCUUGUUGGUGGGGUAGUGGCUUACCAAGGCUUUGACGGGUAGCCGGCCUGAGAGGGUGACCGGCCACAUUGGGACUGAGAUACGGCCCAGACUCCUGCGGGAGGCAGCAGUGGGGAAUAUUGCACAAUGGGCGGAAGCCUGAUGCAGCAACGCCGCGUGCGGGAUGACGGCCUUCGGGCUGUAAACCGCUUUCGCCUGUGACGAAGCGUGAGUGACGGUAAUGGGUAAAGAAGCACCGGCUAACUACGUG